rnacentral:rRNA from 1 species
UACGUAGGGGGCUAGCGUUGUCCGGAAUCAUUGGGCGUAAAGCGCGUGUAGGCGGUCCGGUAAGUCCGCUGUGAAAGUCGGGGGCUCAACCCUCGAAUGCCGGUGGAUACUGUCGGGCUAGAGUGCGGGAGAGGCGAGUGGAAUUCCUGGUGUAGCGGUGAAAUGCGCAGAUAUCAGGAGGAACACCAAUUGCGAAGGCAGCUCGCUGGAACGUAACUGACGCUGAGAACGCGAAAGCCGUGGGGAGCAAACAGG